ACAUGCCUACAUCAUAGUGUUAAUGCACCAGAUCCCAUUAGAACUUCGUAGUUAAGGGCACUCGGGCUAGAGUAGUACUGGGAUGGGUGGCUGCUUGGGAAGUCCUAGUGUUUUACGUGCC
rnacentral:rRNA from 1 species